GUGCUCUCUUAGGCAGCACAUAUACUAAAAUUGGAAUGACACAGAGAUGAUUAGCAUGCUUCUGUGCAAGAGAUCACACAAAUUUGUGAAGUGUUCCCUAUUUUU
ensembl:snRNA U6 U6 spliceosomal RNA